UAAACAAAUAAAUCUUAAAAAAAUUAACAGAUGCAUAUGGCCAUAUCUAGCUUUGAGAGAGGCUAGGAUCCAUGCAGCUAAAUAUGGGCUUCUGUCACUAAGGAAGAAGAAAAGAAUGGAUACUGGGACAAGAAACUAGUUCUGCCAUAAAAGGAACAGUGGAGAAAUGUGGACAUGUAAACUGAAUGAAGUGUGGAGUAUGCUGAUCGCAGCAGAGGAUGAAAAGAGAAUCCAGACACCAAGCAAGGGAGAGAAAAGAGGCACACAGUGAGAGAGAGAGAGAGAGAGGCAGAGACACAGGCAGAGGGAGAAGCAGGC